GAUGAACGCUGGCGGCGUGCUUAACACAUGCAAGUCGAACGGAAAGGCUCCUGCUUGCAGGGGCACUCGAGUGGCGAACGGGUGAGUAACACGUGGGUGAUCUGCCCUGCACUUCGGGAUAAGCCUGGGAAACUGGGUCUAAUACCGGAUAGGACCAUCGUUUAGUGUCGGUGGUGGAAAGUUUUUUCGGUGUGGGAUGAGCUCGCGGCCUACCAGCUUGUUGGUGGGGUAAUGGCCUACCAAGGCGUCGACGGGUAGCCGGCCUGAGAGGGUGUACGGCCACAUUGGGACUGAGAUACGGCCCAGACUCCUACGGGAGGCAGCAGUGGGGAAUAUUGCACAAUGGGCGCAAGCCUGAUGCAGCGACGCCGCGUGGGGGAUGACGGCCUUCGGGUUGUAAACUCCUUUCGCCAGGGACGAAGCGAAAGUGACGGUACCUGGAUAAGAAGCACCGGCUAACUACGUG
rnacentral:rRNA from 1 species